AAACUUUCAACAACGGAUCUCUAGGCUCUUGCAUCGAUGAAGAACGCAGUGAAAUGCGAUACGUAAUGUGAAUUGCAGAAUCUCGUGAAUCAUUGAAUCUUUGAACGCACAUUGCGCCCUAUGGUAUUCCAUAGGGCAUGCCUGUCUGAGCGUCAGCU
rnacentral:rRNA from 5 species